rnacentral:rRNA from 1 species
AGGGUGUAAACGCUGCGGGCUUGGUGUUGGGGGUCCUUUGAGGGCGCCCAGUGCCGGAGAGAAGUUGUUAAGCCUGCUGCUUGGGGAGUACGUCCGCAAGGAUGAAACUUAAAGGAAUUGGCGGGGGAGGCACCGCAACGGGAGGAGCGUGCGGUUCAAUUGGAUUCAACGCCGGACAACUCACCAGGAGCGACGGUUACAUGAAGGCCAGGCUGAUGACCCUUGCCUGAUUUUCUAGAGAGGAGGUGGCAUGGCGGUC